rnacentral:rRNA from 1 species
UACGUAGGGUGCGAGCGUUAAUCGGAAUUACUGGGCGUAAAGCGUGCGCAGGCGGUUUGGUAAGACAGGCGUGAAAUCCCCGGGCGUUAACCUGGGAACGUGCGUUUGUUGACUGCCAGGCUAGAGUACGGCAGAGGGGGGUGGAAUUCCACGUGUAGCAGUGAAAUGCGUAGAGAUGUGGAGGAACACCAAUGGCGAAGGCAGCCCCCU